rnacentral:piRNA from 1 species
UCUACCCCGAAAAUAACUGGUAAAUCAGUUU